rnacentral:rRNA from 1 species
AUGGCGGACUGGUCGGCUCUUCCGGCGGACCUCGUCCGCAGCGUCGCCGACCGCCUGCUCGCCGCCGCGGGCGACGUCGACUACUACAUGGGCAUGCGCGCCGUCUGCCACAGCUGGCGCCUGGCCAUAGCCGAUCCAUGCGGCGGUGCUGGCCUCCACCGUUUCCGUCCCCGGCACUGGAUCAUGCUGGACGACGCCGCGGAGCAGCAGCCGGUCCAUGACGAGGGAGGUGUCCGCCUCUUCCUCAACGUCGCCACCGGCCGCGUCCUCCGCCUGCGCGUCCCGCUGCUCCGGGACCACGUCCUCGUCGCCGCCUCCGACGGCUUCCUCGUCCUCGGCGACAAGAAGUAUCCGCACCGAGCCAGCGUCCUCAACCCUUUCACGGGCUCCUUGGUCCGCUUCGUCGCCGCCAUACCCCGCGUGAACCGGGUGCGAGCAGUGGUGACCGGCUCCGAGGACGACCGGUCCCUCUCGCUUGUCUUCUCCUUCUACCACGACCCCUGCAGCGACGCUAUCACGUGCGCGCACCCGACAGCCGCCCGACUCUCGCCGGUGCAGCUCCCAUACUACGUCGGUGCCGGCCCCUUCUACAGCUUGAAGCAAGAGAACAUGGUCGCCUACCGAGGACACGUCUACGUGGCCUACCGCGACGGGCUGAUUGUCAGGUUUGUCGCCCCGUCGGCGCAGCACCACCAGCACUGCCAUGCCAAGCUCAUAGUCUCGGCCGUACCUUCAUCGGAUUACACCGGCCGCUUCGGCCGAGCUUUUCUCGUGGCGUCCGGCGGGGAUCUGCUGCUCGUCCGUCUGUAUCACCUCCGGCGACGGCGGGCCGUGGAGGUCUUCAGAGUCGACGUGAAGCGAAAGGCGCCGCUGGAGCCCGUGAGGAGCAUCGGCCGCCAUGCGCUCUUCCUUGGCGGCAGGUCUCUGUCUGUCAACGCCGUCGAGCUUCCUUCCGUCGACGGCGACUGCGUGUACCUCGCCUCGGAGAACCGCAAUGUUGCUUGGAGGUACGAUCUCCGAGACGGCAGCGAGACGAUGAUCUCGAGCUUCGAUGCUCGGCCGUUUGGCUUGGUACAGGUGCUGCUCAACUACUGCGUCGUGCUACCCGAUGCAAAGGCUCAGCUCCACUCUGUCUACCGGACGGAGUGUUUGCUGUCGGUUCAGAGUUCAGGGUCGGACUAA